AGGUCCUGCCUGCCCACUGACCAUGUGUUUAACGGCCGCGGUAUUCUGACCGUGCAAAGGUAGCGCAAUCAUUUGUCUUUUAAAUAAAGACCCGUAUGAAAGGCAAAACGAGGGCUUUACUGUCUCCUUUUUCAAGUCAAUGAAAUUGAACCCCCCGUGAAGAAGCGGGGAUUCUUCCAUAAGACGAGAAGACCCUGUGGAGCUUCAGACACAUGAACAGAUCACGUCAAAACCCCCUUACAAAGGAAUGAACUAAACGAACCCUGUUUAAAUGUCUUCGGUUGGGGCGACCACGGUGGAACUACAAAACCCCCGCGUGGAACGAGAGCACCCCGCUCCCACAACUAAGAGCUACCGCUCAAAUCAAGCAGAAUCUCUGACCAUCAAGAUCCGGCAAUGCCGAUCAACGAACCAAGUUACCCCAGGGAUAACAGCGCAAUCCUCUUUCAGAGUUCAUAUCGACAAGAGGGUUUACGACCUCGAUGUUGGAUCAGG
rnacentral:rRNA from 1 species